rnacentral:rRNA from 1 species
UACGUAGGGUGCAAGCGUUGUCCGGAAUUACUGGGCGUAAAGGGCGCGCAGGCGGCUUACCAAGUCAGAUGUGAAAUAACCGGGCUUAACCUGGAAGGGUCAUUUGAAACUGGUAGGCUAGAGUACAGCAGAGGUUAGCGGAAUUCCCGGUGUAGUGGUGAAAUGCGUAGAUAUCGGGAGGAACACAAGAGGCGAAGGCGGCUAACUGGGCUUGUACUGACGCUGAGGCGCGAAGGCUAGGGGAGCAAACAGG